UGGCGAACGGGUGAGUAACACGUGGGUAAUCUGCCCUGCACUCUGGGAUAGGCCUGGGAAACUGGGUCUAAUACUGGAUAUGACCUUUCUCCUUAUGGGGUUUGGUGGAAAGUUUUUCGGUGUAGGAUGAGCCCGCGGCCUAUCAGCUUGUUGGUGGGGUGAUGGCCUACCAAGGCGACGACGGGUAGCCGGCCUGAGAGGGUGAUCGGCCACAUUGGGACUGAGAUACGGCCCAG
rnacentral:rRNA from 1 species